UGCUGUAGUCAUAUGCUUGUCUCAAAGAUUAAGCCAUGCAUGUCUAAGUACAUACCUUUGCACGGUGAAACCGCGAAUGGCUCAUUAAAUCAGUUAUGGUUCCUUAGAUCGUUCAUACUACAUGGAUAACUGUGGUAAUUCUAGAGCUAAUACAUGCAAAAAGCUCCGACCGUAUGGGAAGAGCGCUUUUAUUAGACCAAAACCAAUGGGGUCGCAAGAUCCCUUUGUAUGGUGACUCUGGAUAACUUUGUGCUGAUCGCAUGGCCUCGAGCCGGCGACGUAUCUUUCAAGUGUCUGCCCUAUCAACUUUCGAUGGUAAGCGAUUUGCCUACCAUGGUUGCAACGGGUAACGGGGAAUGGGGCGGG
rnacentral:rRNA from 1 species